GAUGAACGCUGGCGGCGUGCCUAAUACAUGCAAGUCGAGCGAACAGAUGAGGAGCUUGCUCCUCUGACGUUAGCGGCGGACGGGUGAGUAACACGUGGAUAACCUACCUAUAAGACUGGGAUAACUUCGGGAAACCGGAGCUAAUACCGGAUAAUAUAUUGAACCGCAUGGUUCAAUAGUGAAAGACGGUUUUGCUGUCACUUAUAGAUGGAUCCGCGCCGCAUAGCUAGUUGGUAAGGUAACGGCUUACCAAGGCAACGAUGCGUAGCCGACCUGAGGGGGUGAUCGGCCACACUGGAACUGAGACACGGUCCAGACUCCUACGGGAGGCAGCAGUAGGGAAUCUUCCGCAAUGGGCGAAAGCCUGACGGAGCAACGCCGCGUGAGUGAUGAAGGUCUUCGGAUCGUAAAACUCUGUUAUUAGGGAAGAACAAAUGUGUAAGUAACUAUGCACGUCUUGACGGUACCUAAUCAGAAAGCCACGGCUAACUACGUG
rnacentral:rRNA from 1 species